rnacentral:rRNA from 1 species
UACAGAGGGUGCAAGCGUUGUUCGGAAUCAUUGGGCGUAAAGGGCGUGUAGGCGGUUUGUAAGUCAGAUGUGAAAUCCCCGGGCUUAACCUGGGAACUGCGUUUGAAACUACAAGGCUAGAGUGUGGCAGAGGGGGGUGGAAUUCCACGUGUAGCAGUGAAAUGCGUAGAGAUGUGGAGGAACACCGAUGGCGAAGGCAGCCCCCUGGGUUAACACUGACGCUCAGGCACGAAAGCGUGGGGAGCAAACAGG